AUUUAUUAUUUUAUUAGUGGGUAUAGCACUGAAUAUCUCGUAAUUUGAAUUACAAGAAGGGAGUAUGAAAGUACUUACUUUGGAUAUUUAAUCUCAGAAUAACUAAUAAGAAGAUAAGAUAAAUUCUCAGACUUUUUGCGAUAAGGUGAAAAGUCGAAAGGGAAACAGCCCAGAAUAAUGAAUAAAGUUCCUCAAUUGUUACUGAGUGAAAGAAAAG
rnacentral:rRNA from 1 species